AACCAUUCUCACCUGCGGCUAGACCUGCGGAGGGAUCAUUAAUAAAUGUUACUUCGGUAACUUAAUUAAUCCCUAACACCUGUGCAUCUUGUCGCUCCGGCGUCAUUUUAUAAACAUCAGUGUAAUGAAUGUAAAGUAUCAUAACAAAUACAACUUUCAACAACGGAUCU
rnacentral:misc_RNA from 1 species